GAUGAACGCUGGCGGCGUGCCUAAUACAUGCAAGUCAAGCGAACAGACGAGGAGCUUGCUCCUCUGACGUUAGCGGCGGACGGGUGAGUAACACGUGGAUAACCUACCUAUAAGACUGGGAUAACUUCGGGAAACCGGAGCUAAUACCGGAUAUAUAUUUAAACCCCAUGUUUCAUUGUUGAAAACGGUUUUGCCGUUACUUAUUGAAGGAAUCGCGCCGCAUUAGCUAGUUGGUAAGGUAACGGCUUACCAAGGCGACGAUGCGUAGCCGACCUGAGAGGGUGAUCGGCCACACUGGAACUGAGACACGGUCCAGACUCCUACGGGAGGCAGCAGUAGGGAAUCUUCCGCAAUGGGCGAAAGCCUGACGGAGCAACGCCGCGUGAGUGAUGAAGGUCUUCGGAUCGUAAAACUCUGUUAUUAGGGAAGAACAAAUGUGUAAGUAACUAUGCACGUCUUGACGGUACCUAAUCAGAAAGCCACGGCUAACUACGUG
rnacentral:rRNA from 1 species